rnacentral:rRNA from 1 species
AACGAACGCUGGCGGCAGGCCUAACACAUGCAAGUCGAGCGGACCCUUCGGGGUUAGCGGCGGACGGGUGAGUAGCGCGUGGGAAUAUGCCCUUCUCUACGGAAUAGUCCUGGGAAACUGGGGGUAAUACCGUAUACGCCCUUUGGGGGAAAGAUUUAUCGGGGAAGGAUUAGCCCGCGUUGGAUUAGGUAGUUGGUGGGGUAAUGGCCUACCAAGCCGACGAUCCAUAGCUGGUUUGAGAGGAUGAUCAGCCACACUGGGACUGAGACACGGCCCAGACUCCUACGGGAGGCAGCAGUGGGGAAUCUUAGACAAUGGGGGCAACCCUGAUCUAGCCAUGCCGCGUGAGUGAUGUAGGCCUUAGGGUUGUAAAGCUCUUUCAGCUGGGAAGAUAAUGACGGUACCAGCAGAAGAAGCCCCGGCUAACUCCGUG